UGGGGAAUCUUCCGCAAUGGGCGAAAGCCUGACGGAGCAACGCCGCGUGAGUGAUGACGGCCUUCGGGUUGUAAACUCUGUGAUCCGGGACGAAAAGGCAGAGUGCGAAGAACAAACUGCAUUGACGGUACCGGAAAAGCAAGCCACGGCUAACUACGUGCCAGCAGCCGCGGUAAUACGUAGGUGGCAAGCGUUGUCCGGAAUUAUUGGGCGUAAAGCGCGCGCAGGCGGCUUCCCAAGUCCCUCUUAAAAGUGCGGGGCUUAACCCCGUGAUGGGAAGGAAACUGGGAAGCUGGAGUAUCGGAGAGGAAAGUGGAAUUUCUAGUGUAGCGGUGAAAUGCGUAGAGAUUAGGAAGAACACCGGUGGCGAAGGCGACUUUCUGGACGAAAACUGACGCUGAGGCGCGAAAGCGUGGGGAGCAAACAGGAUUAGAUACCCUGGUA
rnacentral:rRNA from 1 species